UAAUAAUUUUGCAUUAUAAUUGUGUCUUGAAUGACAAAAUACAAAAGCAAGUGAAGAAUGAAAAAAAUGUGAUAGAUGCAGUAAGUAAAUCAACUUGAUGAUUUGGUCAUGUGGAUGAAUGAGGGAAGAACAUGUAGCGAAGCAAAUAUAUGUUAGACAUGUAGAGGGUAAAUGUAGGUGGGGAAAGUCAAAGAAAGAAUGGAAAGAACAAAUGAAUGAGUGUCUGAGAAUAUAUGAGUUUCAGAAUCUAUAUAAGAGGUACAUAUAUAUGAAAAAAGGAAUGACUACAGAGAAGCUGAUACAAUAUGUAGAGAUAAGGAUGGCACCAUCUGAUUGGUGAUAUUUGAGUGCUUUUUUCUUUCUUUCUUUCUCUCUUUUCUUUUCUUCCUU
rnacentral:lncRNA from 1 species